rnacentral:rRNA from 1 species
UCUCAAAGAUUAAGCCAUGCAUGUGUAAGUGUAAAUAUACUAGUUUGGAACUGCGAAUGGCUCAUUAUAUCAGUUAUAGUUUAUUUGGUGAAGUGUACUACUUGGAUAACCGUAGUAAUUCUAGGGCUAAUACAUGAGAAAGUCCUCUGGUGAGGUGUGUUUAUUAGAAUGAAAACCAUAUGCUUCGGCAUGAUAGUGAGUAAUAGUAACCUAUCGUAUCGCAUGCUUAAUGUAGCGAUGAGUCUUUCAAGUUUCUGCCCUAUCAGCUUUCGAUGGUAGUAUAUGGGCCUACCAUGGCAGU